AUUGAACGCUGGCGGCAGGCCUAACACAUGCAAGUCGAACGAGUGGCGGACGGGUGAGUAAUGUCUGGGCAACUGCCCGAUGGCGGGGGGUAACUACUGGAACCGGUAGCUAAUACCGCAUACCAUCGGAUGUGCCCAGAUGGGAUUAGCUAGUCGGUGGGGUAAAGGCUAACCUAGGCGACGACCCCUAACGGGUCUGAGAGGAGGACCAGCAAACCUGGAACUGGGACACGGUCAAGACCCCUAGGGGAGGCAGCAGUGGGAAAUAUUGCACAAGGGGCGCAAGCCUGAGGCAGCCAGGCCGGGGGGAUGAAGAAGGCCUUCGGGUUGUAAAGUACGUUCAGCGGGGAGGCGUUACCCGCAGAAGAAGCACCGGCUAACUCCGUGCAAGCAGCCGCGGUAAUA
rnacentral:rRNA from 1 species